AUUGAACGCUGGCGGCAGGCUUAACACAUGCAAGUCGAGCGGGGUGAUGGUGCUUGCACUAUCACUUAGCGGCGGACGGGUGAGUAAUGCUUAGGAAUCUGCCUAUUAGUGGGGGACAACAUCUCGAAAGGGAUGCUAAUACCGCAUACGUCCUACGGGAGAAAGCAGGGGAUCACUUGUGACCUUGCGCUAAUAGAUGAGCCUAAGUCGGAUUAGCUAGUUGGUGGGGUAAAGGCCUACCAAGGCGACGAUCUGUAGCGGGUCUGAGAGGAUGAUCCGCCACACUGGGACUUGGAACCGGCCCAGACUCCUACGGGAGGCAGCAGUGGGGAAUAUUGGACAAUGGGGGGAACCCUGAUCCAGCCAUGCCGCGUGUGUGAAGAAGGCCUUAUGGUUGUAAAGCACUUUAAGCGAGGAGGAGGCUCUUUUGGUUAAUACCCAAGAUGAGUGGACGUUACUCGCAGAAUAAGCACCGGCUAACUCUGUGCCAGCCGCCGCCGUAA
rnacentral:rRNA from 1 species